AAGCAACUGUUUCAUAAUACUAUAAAUCUGUCACUCUAAAUGAUGUUGAUUAUCGUGAAAGUACACGGCAUUUAUUCAAAGCAUAUUUAUUGUGCAUCUACUAUAGGCUGAAGUAUGAGGUUUUGAUUGCAUACAGUUUGGCUGCUGCCCCCACCCUCACCUUUCUAUUAAUUGAAAGCUAUCUUAACUCUUUCUGCAGGAUUAAUUCUUAGAAUGUCAGCAAAUUCAACCCAUCACCCCUCUGAAUACAUUCAUCUUCCUACCAGGGUAGCAAGAGUGGAGAGAUUUCUUGAUGCAAAAUGCCUGAAGUCCUGCUAUUGCAUUAGCCUUUAUGGUUGGGAAUUGGACGAUUCACCAGAAGCACCGAGGGAUCAAAGCAGAAGGUGAAUGCCCCGAGUCUGAGAGAGCGUCGGAUGCAUGAGGAGAAGCAAAGGCAAGUUUUCUGUGAAUGCCAAGUGCACGUUCCCUUGGGUAGAAGGGAGGACAGCUGUUAGGUUGCUCCCUGAUGGAGUUAAUCUUGACAAGCUUUUUGGCAGUUGUUUCAUCUUUAUGAUACCAUAAGAUAAAAAUAGUAAUCUCUGUUAGAGCUUUACGGUUUUUUAAAUGCUUCAAAUUACAUGACUUUUAAUAGCCUAUGCUCACAAUCACCCUGGGAGUUAAUGCAUUUUUAUUGUCUGGGCUGAUCUGGGACAAGUCACAGUCCCCUCCACUUUGUUCCUAGCCAUCACCACUUCGUGUGAUCCUGACCCUAUUGUUCCCUCCAUUAAGGCCUGACUUGUCUCUGACCCUUGCCUCUGACUCCCAUUUACUGGUCUGCCUUUGCUCUUUGAACUUUUCAAAAUGCUCAUGGGUGCACAGCCGGACUCCAAGUCCUCCAAAUACUUGAGGCGACUCAUCCAGUACUUUCCACUUUUUACCACCAGCCAAGUCCCCCCAUUCUCCCUAUCCCUCACCCAGGUAAUUCUCUUCUUUACCCAUCCAGUGGGUGAGAAAUAAACCCAAUUUCCUGAUUGCCUAGUAUUCUAGC
rnacentral:lncRNA from 1 species